AGAGUGGUGCCGAUAUGGCAGCUGCAAAGCAAAACCUCUAUUAAUCAUCCUGGGGAUAGUCCCUGCUGAUCAGCAGCACAGAGCAGCCCAGCCUCCAGCUGAAACCUCUGACAAAGUUCUACUGUUGUUUUGCUGCAUCCCAGAGAACAACUAAGGUGAAAAUACAAAGUCAGUAUCUAACUUGUCUCCUGCAAGCAAGGAGAGUGAGAGAUGCUGAUGGAAGCUGGCUGUAAUUGAGAACAACUGUUGUAUGGAGAAGGCAAGGCUGGGAGACAUCCAGAUGCACUUCACCACCUGACUGACAGAACUGUAAGUGUGAUAGGAUUCACGCCUGAGGAAGAAGCCUGGAGACAGCAGAGUUAAAACAUUGAGCAGAUUCACUGGUUUCUCGUGGAGCUCCCACACAGGCUGUUUGGCUCAACACUCUGUUCACCUUUUGAGGGAA